UAAGCUUUCAUUUUUGCAAACGAAACCAGUAGAAUUGAGCAAUAUCAAGYUAUACUUGUUUGCGKAAAGAGACAACCAUGGGAAUGCGCUUCAUCUUAUUUCUGAUGGCUAUAAUUGCACUUCACCGUUCUGUCCAUGCAGCCAGCAAUGCCACUAAUGUAACAAUGCCACCAUCGUCAGCUCCGUCAACAACACCARUAGGUCUCUUAACUAAAACAAAUGGCAACGAUGGUAACAAUUCGUUUGAUAAAUCAACURCGKCYACAACAGCAGAACCGGCCGCAACAACAUCCACGUCAACAGUACUAAAAGAUGGUGCAAUAAUCGGCCUAGCGUUGGGCGUUGUUUCAGCCAUCAUUUUAUGGGAAUAACAAUCUUUUUUACUAAAAAGGCAGCUUCACUGARGAAAAACAGGUAUGGACGACCAAGACACAAAAUCCAAAUGAUUAAUAGAAGUGAACUGCAGUGUGAAGACAUGAUCAAAACUAGACUAGUGGAGAAACCAAAGAGAGAUAAAACACUUAGCCAUGUAGGAUAGACUCAAUGAUAACWGUCAAACAUAGUCAUAUAGAAACAAAACUCUCGGAAUCCCCUUCAGAGUUGACUUUAAUGAUAUACGACCUUUUUCCGUACCGACAACGUUAAUUCAAUAAGGUUAAUUAACGUACGUACACAUGUAUCUAUAGGAUAGCUGAUUAAAAAUUGUCGUUGGUAUUAAAAUACACGUCAGUGAMAAAUUAA